UUGAUUUGGUUCCAAGGACUUACAUUGAUUGGCUAAGUAUGGACGGCGUUCCAUGGACAUUUAUGAGUGUGGAUCGAUUAGGACUCUUUCAGCAGCUACAUUGGCACCUUUAUAGAGCAUCCGGUUAGAGUUCCGGCCUCUUAUACUUGUUACUUGUGAUUGGUUACUUGGGUACUUCUUGUGAGCAUCCGGUUCGAGGUCCGGCCUCUCUUGCCCAGAUACUUAUAUAGAGCAUCCGGUUCGAGGUCCGGCCUCUCUUGCCCAGAUACUUAUAUAGAGCAUCCGGUUCGAGGUCCGGCCUCUAUUGCCCAGAUACUUAUAUAGAGCAUCCGGUUCGAGGUCCGGCCUCUAUUGCCCAGAUACUUAUAU
rnacentral:lncRNA from 1 species